GAUGAACGCUGGCGGCGUGCCUAAUACAUGCAAGUCGAGCGAACAGACGAGGAGCUUGCUCCUCUGACGUUAGCGGCGGACGGGUGAGUAACACGUGGAUAACCUACCUCUAAGACUGGGAUAACUUCGGGAAACCGGAGCUAAUACCGGAUAAUAUAUUGAACCGCAUGGUUCAAUAGUGAAAGACGGUUUUGCUGUCACUUAUAGAUGGAUCCGCGCCGCAUUAGCUAGUUGGUAAGGUAACGGCUUACCAAGGCAACGAUGCGUAGCCGACCUGAGAGGGUGAUCGGCCACACUGGAACUGAGACACGGUCCAGACUCCUACGGGAGGCAGCAGUAGGGAAUCUUCCGCAAAGGGCGAAAGCCUGACGGAGCAACGCCGCGUGAGUGAUGAAGGUCUUCGGAUCGUAAAACUCUGUUAUUAGGGAAGAACAAAUGUGUAAGAAACUAUGCACGUCUUGACGGUACCUAAUCAGAAAGCCACGGCUAACUACGUG
rnacentral:rRNA from 1 species